GACGAACGCUUGCGGCGUGCCUAAGAAAUGCAAGUCGAGCGAGGCCAGAGUGCUUGCACUUGAAGCCUAGCGGCGAACGGUCGCGUAACACGUAAGCAACCUGCCCCGGAGACCGGGAUAACCCUCCGAAAGGAGAGCUAAUACCGGAUGUCCUCACCGAGUCGCAUGGCUUGGUGAGGAAAUGGAUUCCGCUCCGGGAGAGCCUCGCGGCCUAUCAGCUAGUUGGUGGGGUAACAGCCCAACAAGGCGUCGACGGGUAGCUGGUCUGAGAGGACGAUUAGCCACACUGGGACUGAGACACGGCCCAGACUCCUACGGGAGGCAGCAGUGGGGAAUCUUGCGCAAUGGGCGAAAGCCUGACGCAGCAACGCCGCGUGCGGGAUGAAGGCCCUCGGGUUGUAAACCGCUUUCAGUGGGGACGAACCAAGACGGUACCCACAGAAGAAGCCCCGGCCAACUACGUGCCAGCAGCCGCGGUAACAC
rnacentral:rRNA from 1 species